rnacentral:rRNA from 1 species
UAAGGAAUAUUGGACAAUGGAGGCAACUCUGAUCCAGCCAUGCCGCGUGAAGGAUUAAGGCCCUAUGGGUUGUAAACUUCUUUUAGACGGGACAAAACCCCUUUACGUGUAAAGGGUUGAUGGUACUGUCAGAAUAAGCAUCGGCUAACUUCGUGCCAGCAGCCGCGGUAAUACGAAGGAUGCAAGCGUUAUCCGGAAUUAUUGGGUUUAAAGGGUGCGUAGGCGGACUAAUAAGUCAGUGGUGAAAGCC